AAAAUCUGAAGCUCAAAAUGAAGAGCAGAUGCAGAUCUGAAUUAUAAUCAUCAAUACUACCAGUAGUAUCAUCCGCUCUUUAACAAAUCGACUUCUUCUCAUCAUUAUAAAAACUCUCCCUCAAAAGAACAUGAAAUUCUACCACCUUAUUACUUAAAUCUCACUGAAAUUUAUUGGUUACAGCGACUUCGAUUCUUCUUAUAAUUAUUUUUUUAAUGAUUAUUAGCUGUUCUUGUUAUGUUGAUUUGCGUUUUGUUUUAGUUAUUAUUUCUUUUAGAUGUGAGAAAAAUUCUUGAGUUUGUUUAAUUUUAGGGUUUAAAUAGAUAUUUUUGCCCCCAAUUUCGUGAUUUGGUAUCACAAAUCGACCCAAAGCUUAGUGGCUUUUCUUUGGCACUCUUAUUUAUUUUCUAAUACAUUCAUCUUAUUAAUUUUGUAAACACGGUGUUAAGAUUUAGUUUAGUUAUUUUCGUAAUCCUUGUAAUUUGAUUAUAUACUGAUGAUUUUGUGGUCAUCAUGUUCUAGGAAUGAUUUGGAUUUGUUUGAGAAAGCUGAUGAUGGAGUAUGCUUCACAUUUCAUUACCUCGCAUCCAGCGCCAUCUAUUCAUUGCAGAACACCGUUGCUGCUCAACAUUGCCGCUCACCAUUGCUGCUCACUAUUGCCGCUCUCCAUUUCUGCUCACCAUUGCCCCUCAGUCUUGUGUGGCGAGAUGGGGUUUGGAGAAAUGGAGUUCGGCGAAAUGGAGUUUGACGAAUUGGAGAUUUCCUCGGCAGAAUCUCUGGAAUAUUAUUCAUCUACACAUUAUAGGAGUGCUGAAGGAAGUUUUAUAUUCUAGCGCAUGUAAAAUAGAUGGGCUGUUAUCUUUACUAUAUAUCACCAGAAUGAUAGCAAUGGGAUUAAUUUGGAUAUCGAGAAUUCUUUAGCUGCAUUAGAAGAAGCUAUUGAUAUUGCUGUUUAUCAGAGUUUGUAUUACUGGGGAUAGGAUUAAUGGAUUGAGUGCUGGGAAUUCUGUUGCUUGAUAAUUCGAGGUUUACAACACAAAAGGUUUCAGAAUCAUCAUGUCAAUAGAGAAGAAAUAAAUCUCGGAAUAAAUAGUUGGAGAGAUUGCUGAAAAUACUUCCGGUUUGGAGCUCAAUGCAUUAGAUUAGAUUACCGACAUGGAGCUACUGGUGAAAUAGAGAGUAGAGAAGAAGAGUGGUGCACAGUCUCAUCAACAUCAUCAUCAAACAGAAAAGUCUCUCCAUCAGUCGAACAAAUCCUCCUCACUGGAUCCCACUCACUCACUUCUUCAGCUUAUUAAUUAACAAACAGAAAAGAACAAGCGAACACCUGCAGGCAGCAGCAGUUUCAUCAAUUACUUCUUCUUGAUUUUCACCUCUUAAACCACUAUAUCAUCAUCAACCUCAGCUAAUUAGAGAGGAAAUCACUUAAUUGUUUCAUCUUCUCAAUCAAUCAUAUUCUGUCGGUUCCAAGAUUAUUCUCCAAAAGAUUUGAUUUUCAUCAUCAGAACUUACUUCUUGUUUUUCACCUCUCAAACUACUACUUCAUCGUCAACACCAGCUAAUUAGAGAGAAACAUCACUAAAUUUGAGUGUGGUUUCCAAAGAUUUGCUUUUUUUCACUCCAUAAGCUUCACUAGAUCAAGGGGUGGUGAAGGAAAAGCAAAUUACAUCGAUGCUGAGGGCACUUUCAGGCCACAAUGACCCGUACAGAUUGUUGGCAGGCCUGGAUUGAAUGGUACCUAUGUUUUUGAGAAUGUGGUAUAUGCUAGAGCCUGUGGCACUGAUCAUUAGUCAAGAAUCUGCAAGACAGUGAUUGCUUGCACAAAUUUGUAUUGACUUGAGCUUCAGUAUCGUUUCUGAAAUUCCGCCUUUGCAAUUAGGCCUGUCAUGUUCCCUUCAUUGCCGCUGGGACUAGCUUUUUAAGUAUUUUUCCAAAGAAUUUAUUUGCACCCACACUCCACUUCAGCUAUCACUACUUCGAGACUGAUGCUCCAAAAGUUUUGUAUGCAGACACACCAGGAAUACCUCAAUCAUGGUGAUACUGAUUUAACACCUGCCUAUAUGUUUAUAAGGAGGAUGUGAAACAUUUUCAUAAGAAUUUCUCAAAGGCUUAUUUAAUGGAAGAAGGGAUAUUCAAUAUGGUUCAAAUACUGCAGCGUUAAAUGGAGUAGGAGAAGAGUGUUACGAUUCAAACAGCUGUAAUAGCAGCCAUAGUCCCCGUGUAACGAACAAACGUCACAGAGACAAGAUAUCACCGUAACACCAUCUGCAAGAUUUAAGGGUGUUGUUUGCAGGUUGCAGCCAAAUGGACGAUGGGGUGCACAAAUUUAUGCAAACCGUAACCUUAUUUGGAUUGGACAUUCAAAUCAGAGUCCGAAGCUGCUAAAUACUUAUGAUAGUGCUGCUGUCAAGCAUCAUCAAAGUGAAGACUCGCAUCGGAACUGUCCAGGAACUGUGGACACUUGGGGAAGUACUGAACAUACUGAUGGAUUAUAUCAAACAAAGUUGCUUGAAUUUAUCAACGCGCUUGUUCAGUGAAGCAAGAUGAGGAACCUGGUUUUGUCUGAACUUGUUUACAAGAAGUGCCAUCGACAGAGCUGUACCGUGCCAGAAGUUGUUUUGGGAAAUUUAGGACGGGGACCAGGUAAUUUUGGAAUCACCACAACCAGAGGAGUAAAAGGCCUUGAGACAGAUCAUAAAUUCAUCAUUGGCAAUAAGUAUUUAUUUUCAUUUUCUAAUUUAGCAAACUGGCCGGUUUGAGAGGCUCAAUUUUUUAAAUGCCAACUUUAUCCAUUGGUGACUUUAAACAUGAACGAUUUUUUGGGCACUAGCUCAUUUUGACGGGGGAAUACUCAUUUUAUUUGGGGAUGGAUAUUUGAAGUAAAAUCCAGACACCCCUUAUCUUUAUUUUCGUUAAUACCAAAAAAGCCCU